UGGGGAAUAUUGCACAAUGGGCGAUAGCCUGAUCCAGCCAUGCCGCGUGUGUGAAGAAGGUCUUCGGAUUGUAAAGCACUUUAAGUUGGGAGGAAGGGCAUUAACCUAAUACGUUAGUGUUUUGACGUUACCGACAGAAUAAGCACCGGCUAACUCUGUGCCAGCAGCCGCGGUAAUACAGAGGGUGCAAGCGUUAAUCGGAAUUACUGGGCGUAAAGCGCGCGUAGGUGGUUUGUUAAGUUGGAUGUGAAAUCCCCGGGCUCAACCUGGGAACUGCAUUCAAAACUGACUGACUAGAGUAUGGUAGAGGGUGGUGGAAUUUCCUGUGUAGCGGUGAAAUGCGUAGAUAUAGGAAGGAACACCAGUGGCGAAGGCGACCACCUGGACUAAUACUGACACUGAGGUGCGAAAGCGUGGGGAGCAAACA
rnacentral:rRNA from 1 species